GUGGGGAAUAUUGGACAAUGGGCGCAAGCCUGAUCCAGCCAUGCCGCGUGAGUGAUGAAGGCCCUAGGGUUGUAAAGCUCUUUCACCGGAGAAGAUAAUGACGGUACCAGCAGAAGAAGCCCCGGCUAACUCCGUGCCAGCAGCCGUGGUAAUACGGAGGGGGCUAGCGUUGUUCGGAAUUACUGGGCGUAAAGCGCACGUAGGCGGAUUGGAAAGUUGGGGGUGAAAUCCCGGGGCUCAACCCCGGAACUGCCUUCAAAACUCCCAUUCUUGAGGUCGAGAGAGGUGAGUGGAAUUCCGAGUGUAGAGGUGAAAUUCGUAGAUAUUCGGAGGAACACCAGUGGCGAAGGCGGCUCACUGGCUCGAUACUGACGCUGAGGUGCGAAAGCGUGGGGAGCAAACAGGAUUAGAUACCCGUGUAGUCC
rnacentral:rRNA from 1 species